rnacentral:misc_RNA from 1 species
CAACUGUUGAACAGAAGUCGAGCAAUCAGAGUAUUGCUGCUGUCGAUUCCAUUCAAAUCAAAGCACCAUCGUCAACUAGUACACAUCAGAUGGAGAAGACUGUGCCUGUAGUUACCUCAUCCCAUGUUGUUGUAAGUGCAGUAAAAGCAGAGGCUCAGAAGUCAGCAAUUCCAAAACCAACUGAAAAGGCUUCCGCACAGCAAGCUCCUAUGAUGUCACGGCCUUCUAGUGCACCUCUAAUUCCUGGUCCAAGAGCCACAGCACCUGUUGUUAAUGUGGUCCAUACAUCCCCAUUGCUUGCCCGUUCAGUGAGUGCAGCUGGCCGGUUGGGUCCAGACCCUGCUCCAGCCACACAUAGUUAUGCUCCCCAGUCCUAUAGGAACGCCAUAAUGGGCAACCAUGUAGCUCCGAGCACUGCUGGAUAUGUUCAUCUCAGCACCUCAACUUCAGGCGUUAGCCCAUCAUCAGCCUUCUCUUUGGCAUCUGCUAUGGUUUCUUCACCCAUGUAUGUACCACACAACUCUGAGAGGUUAGAUCCAAAUGCUGUUAGAUCCAGUUAUCCUUUCAGCAUGGUAACCCGAGAUGUCUUACCAAAUAGUACCCAGUGGGUAGAGG